rnacentral:rRNA from 1 species
GACGAACGCUGGCGGCGUGCUUAACACAUGCAAGUCGAACGGAAAGGCCCUGCUUUUGUGGGGUGCUCGAGUGGCGAACGGGUGAGUAACACGUGAGUAACCUGCCCUUGACUUUGGGAUAACUUCAGGAAACUGUGGCUAAUACCGGAUAGGAGCUCCUGCUGCAUGGUGGGGGUUGGAAAGUUUCGGCGGUUGGGGAUGGACUCGCGGCUUAUCAGCUUGUUGGUGGGGUAGUGGCUUACCAAGGCUUUGACGGGUAGCCGGCCUGAGAGGGUGACCGGCCACAUUGGGACUGAGAGACGGCCCAGACUCCUACGGGAGGCAGCAGUGGGGAAUAUUGCACAAUGGGCGGAAGCCUGAUGCAGCAACGCCGCGUGCGGGAUGACGGCCUUCGGGGUGUAAACCGCUUUCGCCUGUGACGAAGCGUGAGUGACGGUAAUGGGUAAAGAAGCACCGGCUAACUACGUG